rnacentral:rRNA from 1 species
UAGCGGAACUCCUACGGGAGGCAGCAGUGGGGAAUUUUGGACAAUGGGGGCAACCCUGAUCCAGCAAUGCCGCGUGAGUGAUGAAGGCCUUAGGGUUGUAAAGCUCUUUUACCCGGGAUGAUAAUGACAGUACCGGGAGAAUAAGCUCCGGCUAACUCCGUGCCAGCAGCCGCGGUAAUACGGAGGGAGCUAGCGUUAUUCGGAAUUACUGGGCGUAAAGCGCACGUAGGCGGCUUUGUAAGUUAGAGGUGAAAGCCUGGAGCUCAACUCCAGAAUUGCCUUUAAGACUGCAUCGCUUGAAUCCAGGAGAGGUGAGUGGAAUUCCGAGUGUAGAGGUGAAAUUCGUAGAUAUUCGGAAGAACACCAGUGGCGAAGGCGGCUCACUGGACUGGUAUUGACGCUGAGGUGCGAAAGCGUGGGGAGCAAACAGGAUUAGAAACCCCUGUAGUCCACUUAUG